UACCUACUCCCUCUGUCCCAAAAUAAGUGACUCAAGUUUGUACUAAUUUUGUACUAAAGUUAGUACAAAGUUGAGUCACUUAUUUUGGGACGGAGGGAGUAUGUU
rnacentral:pre_miRNA from 1 species